rnacentral:lncRNA from 1 species
GGAAAGGAUGGAUGCUUUUGUUGUUGUUGUUGUUGUUGCUGCUGCUGUUUGUUUGUUUGUUUCUAGGGAGGGCCGGAGGAAAAGAGAGCCCCCCCUCCUCCUAAAUCCCGUUGCCCAGCCCAACCACGGCGAUCGGGCCGAGGCGGGGGGGCUUCAAAACCGGAGAGGAAAGGUUUAGACUCCGCGGGAAGUUUGCAGAGUUGGCGCGGGAGGCUUUUCCACGAGAGAAAAAAAUAAAAAUAAACUAAACCGUGGAAUCAAAGCCGCAAGCCCGGGACUGCAUUCAUGAUUUUCAAUAAAUUAAGUCGGCAGCAAUUCUCUCCGUCUUCCCUUCUUUGCAAAGAAAAAGAAAAAGGGGAAAAAAGUCUUUAAAAUCGAUGAGCCGCCGGCAGAGCCGCGGAUCACAACGUCUCCAUCUGGCGCCGGACGCCUCGCAGCCCCCCCGCUAUUAAAAAAAAUGAAGGGGCUUUCUUCCUAAAGCGGGAGUGCGUGGGGGAGAGGGGGGGGUAAGAACAGCUGCAAAGCUUCCCCUCCCGGAAAAAAAAGAGAUCCAGAUGUUGGACGUGACCCCCAAACGCCCCCACACCGACUGGCCGCCUCCUUCUCGGAAAAGGGAGAAGAAUCUGAACUCAAAAAGAUCUCCGAAAGCCCCGCCGGGCCAGCGAUGGGGAGGCAAGCGGUUAGCCGGCGAUUUCAAAGGUCGGGGGGGUCGGCGAAGGGUCUCAUCGGAGCGAGCCGUCGCCGAGGGGGGGGGAGCAGCACAGGGGGGAAACCACAAGCCCCAUCUGGAAGGAAGAAGACGAGGCCUCGGCCCGCUGUCUGGGGAAGGGGCUUCACCUUUUAGGCCCCGCUCGAUCUUCGGCGAAAACGAAGUGAAAGCGCUGGAGACGAGGGGCAGCGGGCGAAAAAGUCUCGCCUCCUCCUUCGCCUUGCCUUCGCUUCCCUUUCUUCUCCUCCCGCGAAGUCGGUCCGCGGCUCACUCGCGUCGCUCCCUCUCGCUGGGGCGCGACCCGGUCCAGAGGCGGGCUGGACGCCUCGCCGCCUUCGCAGCGUUCCCGGAGACUUUUCCCCCAGCCAAGAUCCGCCGCGGCUUCAUCCAGGGCUGGCGAGUCAAGUGAGUGUUGGUCCAGGAUGGACAGCAUCCCCACUUUCACAAUGUGGACGAAUACUUCUGUGCUUGGUCUGGAACAGGUUGGAGUGGAAUAGUUAAAAUGCUCCAAGCAAGGUGAGUCCAGAAACAGCCAAAGUGAGCUCCAAUCAUUCUUUAUUCUUCUCCUGUCUCAUUAUUGUAUUAGUUUAAAAGGAAG